UACGUAGGGUGCAAGCGUUAAUCGGAAUUACUGGGCGUAAAGCGUGCGCAGGCGGUUUGUUAAGUCCGCUGUGAAAUCCCCGAGCUCAACUUGGGAAUUGCAGUGGAUACUGGCAAGCUGGAGUAUGGUAGAGGAAGGUGGAAUUCCCGGUGUAGCAGUGAAAUGCGUAGAGAUCGGGAGGAACACCAGUGGCGAAGGCGGCCCUUCUGGACCAAUACUGACGCUCAUGCACGAAAGCGUGGGGAGCAAACAGG
rnacentral:rRNA from 1 species